UACGUAGGUGGCAAGCGUUGUCCGGAAUUAUUGGGCGUAAAGCGCGCGCAGGCGGUCCUUUAAGUCUGAUGUGAAAGCCCCCGGCUCAACUGGGGAGGGUCACGCGAUACUGAUCGACUCGAAGGCAGGAGAGGGAAGUGGAAUUCCCGGUGUAGUGGUGAAAUGCGUAGAUAUCGGGAGGAACACCAGUGGCGAAGGCGACUUCCUGGCCUGUUCUUGACGCUGAGGCGCGAAAGCUAGGGGAGCAAACGGGG
rnacentral:rRNA from 1 species